rnacentral:lncRNA from 1 species
AUGGAAAGGAACAUCUGGUUAUGGCUCCAAGGUUUGCUGUGCAGUAGGGGAUGAUGGCUGAGAUGGCAAAGCAUCUGAGAUGUCAUGUAAUGGAUUUCAAGAAUAGCAUAUGUGAGAUGCACCCAAAAAGCCUGAAGGCUUGUGUUGACAGAGUUGAUGCUCCUGUGUGAGACUCGUGUUCUGUCUCAGCAACACAAGUCUCUCUCAAAAUUCAUCACUGGGAAGGCAAAAGUCAUCUUCAAGCUCUAGCAUAGCAACCUCCAAGAGAGGAUAAUCGUUAUCCUUUUCAGAAUGAGGCCCAAGAAAUCCGGAAUUCUCUACACAAGGCAAUGGUCUCACAAGCGGACAACUGCCUCGGCAGAGAAAAAUGAACAGGCACCAUUCCAAGAUGAAGAACGUCCCCAAGGUGGUUUUGAGAAGGCCUGAGCAUGCAGCAAGAUGGUAAGAAUGGAUGA